rnacentral:rRNA from 1 species
CGCGGCCUAUCAGCUUGUUGGUGAGCUAAUGGCUCACCAACGCGACGACGGGUACCCGGCCUGAGAGGGCGACGGCCACACUGGGACUGAGACACGGCCCAGACUCCUACGGGAGGCAGCAGUGGGGAAUAUUGCACAAUGGGCGAAAGCCUGAUGCAGCGACGCCGCGUGAGGGAUGACGGCCUUCGGGUUGUAAACCUCUUUCAGCAGGGAAGAAGCGAAAGUGACGGUACCUGCAGAAGAAGCGCCGGCUAACUACGUGCCAGCAGCCGCGGUAAUACGUAGGGCGCGAGCGUUGUCCGGAAUUAUUGGGCGUAAAGAGCUCGUAGGCGGCUUGUCACGUCGGUUGUGAAAGCCCGGGGCUUAACCCCGGGUCUGCAGUCGAUACGGGCAGGCUAGAGUUCGGUAGGGGAGAUCGGAAUUCCUGGUGUAGCGGUGAAAUGCGCGGAUAUCGGAAAGAACACCGGUGGCGAAGGCGGAUCUCUGGGCCGAUACUGACGCUGAGGAGCGAAAGCGUGGGGAGCGAACAGGAUUAGAUACCCUGGUAGUCCACGCCGUAAACGGUGGGCACUAGGUGUGGGCGACAUUCCACGUCGUCGGUGCCGCAGCUAACGCAUUAAGUGCCCCGCCUGGGGAGUAC